rnacentral:rRNA from 1 species
AUUGAACGCUGGCGGCAUGCUUUACACAUGCAAGUCGAACGGUAACAGGCCGCAAGGUGCUGACGAGUGGCGAACGGGUGAGUAAUGCAUCGGAACGUGCCCAGUCGUGGGGGAUAACUACUCGAAAGAGUAGCUAAUACCGCAUACGAUCUAUGGAUGAAAGCGGGGGACCGUAAGGCCUCGCGCGAUUGGAGCGGCCGAUGUCAGAUUAGGUAGUUGGUGGGGUAAAGGCUCACCAAGCCAACGAUCUGUAGCUGGUCUGAGAGGACGACCAGCCACACUGGGACUGAGACACGGCCCAGACUCCUACGGGAGGCAACAGUGGGGAAUUUUGGACAAUGGGCGCAAGCCUGAUCCAGCAAUGCCGCGUGCAGGAAGAAGGCCUUCGGGUUGUAAACUGCUUUUGUACGGAACGAAACGGCUCUGGUUAAUACCCGGGGCUAAUGACGGUACCGUAAGAAUAAGCACCGGCUAACUACGUG